UACGUAGGGUGCGAGCGUUAAUCGGAAUUACUGGGCGUAAAGCGUGCGCAGGCGGUUUUGUAAGCCAGAUGUGAAAUCCCCGGGCUUAACCUGGGAAUGGCAUUUGGGACUGCAAGGCUUGAGUGCGGCAGAGGAGACUGGAAUUCCUGGUGUAGCAGUGAAAUGCGUAGAUAUCAGGAGGAACACCGAUGGCGAAGGCAGGUCUCCUGGGCUGACACUGACGCUCAUGCACGAAAGCGUGGGGAGCGAAACAAAG
rnacentral:rRNA from 1 species